rnacentral:rRNA from 1 species
GAUGAACGCUAGCGGCAGGCUUAACACAUGCAAGUCGAGGGGUAACAGGGUAGCAAUACCGCUGACGACCGGCAAACGGGUGCGGAACACGUACGCAAUCUACCGUUGUCUGGGGUAUAGCCCGGAGAAAUCCGGAUUAAUCCCCCAUAAGAUAUUGGAGUGGCAUCACUCAGAUAUUAAAACUCAGGUGGACAAUGAUGAGCGUGCGUCCCAUUAGCUAGUUGGAGGGUAACGGCCUACCAAGGCGACGAUGGGUAGCUGGUGUGAGAGCACGACCAGCCACACGGGCACUGAGACACGGGCCCGACUCCUACGGGAGGCAGCAGUGAGGAAUAUUGGUCAAUGGACGCAAGUCUGAACCAGCCAUGCCGCGUGAAGGAUGAAGGCCUUCUGGGUUGUAAACUUUCUUUUAUUGGGGAAGAAAAUUAUGGUUUCUACUAUAACCGACGGUACCCAAGGAAUAAGCACCGGCUAACUCCGUGCCAGCCGCCGCAGU